rnacentral:rRNA from 1 species
AUUGAACGCUGGCGGCAUGCCUUACACAUGCAAGUCGAACGGCAGCACGGGAGCAAUCCUGGUGGCGAGUGGCGAACGGGUGAGUAAUAUAUCGGAACGUGCCCGGUCGUGGGGAUAACGUAGCGAAAGCUACGCUAGUACCGCAUACGAUCUACGGAUGAAAGCGGGGGAUCGCAAGACCUCGCGCGAUUGGAGCGGCCGAUAUCAGAUUAGGUAGUUGGUGAGGUAAAGGCUCACCAAGCCGACGAUCUGUAGCUGGUCUGAGAGGACGACCAGCCACACUGGGACUGAGACACGGCCCAGACUCCUACGGGAGGCAGCAGUGGGGAAUUUUGGGACAAUGGGCGCAAGCCUGAUCCAGCAAUGCCGCGUGCAGGAUGAA